CACGAACGCUGGCGGCAGGCUUAACACAUGCAAGUCGAGCGCCCCGCAAGGGGAGCGGCAGACGGGUGAGUAACGCGUGGGAAUCUACCCAUCUCUACGGAAUAACGCAUGGAAACGUGUGCUAAUACCGUAUACGUCCUUCGGGAGAAAGAUUUAUCGGAGAUGGAUGAGCCCGCGUUGGAUUAGCUAGUUGGUGGGGUUAAGGCCUACCAAGGCGACGAUCCAUAGCUGGUCUGAGAGGAUGAUCAGCCACACUGGGACUGAGACACGGCCCAGACUCCUACGGGAGGCAGCAGCGGGGAAUAUUGGACAAUGGGCGCAAGCCUGAUCCAGCCAUGCCGCGUGAGUGAUGAAGGCCCUAGGGUUGUAAAGCUCUUUCACCGGUGAAGAUAAUGACGGUAACCGGAGAAGAAGCCCCGGCUAACUUCGUGCCAGCCGCCGCAGUAACAC
rnacentral:rRNA from 1 species